rnacentral:rRNA from 2 species
GCUAUGGGGCCUACCAAGACGAUGACGCAUAACUGGUUUGAGAGGAUGAUCAGUCACACUGGAACUGAGACACGGUCCAGACUCCUACGGGAGGCAGCAGUGGGGAAUAUUGCACAAUGGACGAAAGUCUGAUGCAGCAACGCCGCGUGGAGAUGACACAUUCGGUGCGUAAACUCCUUUAUAUAAGAAGAUAAUGACGGUAUUAUAUGAAUAAGCACCGGCUAACUCCGUGCCAGCAGCCGCGGUAAUACGGAGGGUGCAAGCGUUACUCGGAAUCACUGGGCGUAAAGAGCGUGUAGGCGGAUUGAUAAGUUUGAAGUGAAAUCCUAUAGCUUAACUAUAGAACUGCUUUGAAAACUGUUAAUCUAGAAUGUGGGAGAGGUAGAUGGAAUUUCUGGUGUAGGGGUAAAAUCCGUAGAGAUCAGAAGGAAUACCGAUUGCGAAGGCGAUCUACUGGAACAAUAUUGACGCUGAGACGCGAAAGCGUGGGGAGCAAACAGGAUUAGAUACCCUGGUAGUCCACGCCCUAAACGAUGUACACUAGUUGUUGUGAGGCUCGACCUUGCAGUAAUGCAGUUAACACAUUAAGUGUACCGCCUGGGGAGUACGGUCGCAAGAUUAAAACUCAAAGGAAUAGACGGGGACCCGCACAAGCGGUGGAGCAUGUGGUUUAAUUCGACGAUACACGAAGAACCUUACCUGGACUUGACAUAGUAAGAAUGAUUUAGAGAUAGAUUAGUGUCUGCUUGCAGAAACUUGCAUACAGGUGCUGCACGGCUGUCGUCAGCUCGUGUCGUGAGAUGUUGGGUUAAGUCCCGCAACGAGCGCAACCCUCGUCCUUAGUUGCUAACAGUUCGGCUGAGAACUCUAAGGAGACUGCCUACGCAAGUAGGAGGAAGGUGAGGAUGACGUCAAGUCAUCAUGGCCCUUACGUCCAGGGCUACACACGUGCUACAAUGGGGUAUACAAAGAGCAGCAAUACGUGACGUGGAGCAAAUCUCAAAAAUGCCUCCCAGUUCGGAUUGUAGUCUGCAACUCGACUACAUGAAGUUGGAAUCGCUAGUAAUCGUAGAUCAGCUAUGCUACGGUGAAUACGUUCCCGGGUCUGUACUCCACCCCGCCCC